rnacentral:rRNA from 1 species
UGCCAGCCGCCGCGGUAAUACGGAGGGUGCAAGCAUUGAUCGGAAUUACUGGGCGUAAAGGGCGCGUAGGCGGCUUGGUCAGUCAGAUGUGAAAUUCCGGGGCUCAACCCCGGAGCUGCAUAUGAAACUGCCAGGCUAGAGUGUAGUUAGGGAAAACGGAAUUCCACGUGUAGCGGUGAAAUGCGUAGAUAUGCGGAAGAACACCGGUGGUGAAGACGGUUUUCUGGGCUAUUUCUGACGCUGAGGCGCGAAAGCAUGGGGAGCGAACAGGAUUAGAUA